UACGGGGGGGGGCAAGCGUUGUUCGGAAUUACUGGGCGUAAAGGGCCAGUAGGCGGCCAACUAAGUCGGAUGUGAAAUCCCCGGGCUCAACCUGGGAAUGGCAUUUGGGACUGCAAGGCUUGAGUGCGGCAGAGGAGACUGGAAUUCCUGGUGUAGCAGUGAAAUGCGUAGAUAUCGGAAGGAACACCAGUGGCGAAAGCGGCUUCCUGGUCCAGCACCGACGUUCAGGCACGAAAGCGUGGGGAGCAAACAGG
rnacentral:rRNA from 1 species